rnacentral:hammerhead_ribozyme from 1 species
GUCCAGCUGAGGAGUUUCAAAUAGGACGAAACUCGCGUCAAACUGGAU